AUAACUCAGCUGCGCAUGUGUACUGAUCAACCUCAUCGUACAGGUUUUCCAUGUGUAAAUGUCUUUUGAAAUCAAUCAUUUCAAACUAAAACAAGUUUUACAUUUAUAAAAGUGUUUUUCUCGUAAUCGCAUACAGCUUUCGAAAUCUAGAAACGCAUUUAAUCUAUAAAGUAACUGCAGUCGUCGUGGCAACAAUGGACUAUUCGCUAUAUUUGGAAAACAAGUGAAAAUAAAUUGGGUUUUUUUCUCUGUUGCCGGGUCGGAACCGAGCCAGAAAGGAAGUGCCUUGGGAUAGUGAAUUGCCCUUCCUUCAUGAAUCGUUGACAGCAUAAAUACAAGCAAAAAUAUACUUCGAGUACAGUUGAAGGUUCAUGGUGGUGAAAAUCUACUCUAUUUAUUGGAAUCCAUAUCAUCAUAUUGAUCAUCGGAUUUAUACAGUUACACUAUAAUGCGUAAUUCGGUCUACGCUUGUAUCAUCGUCACGUGCGUGUGCGUUGCCAUGUUAUACGACGAGUGUGGGGCUAGCAACUACUUCCAGAGAGUGAUCGUUCCCCGUCGACGGAUGAGACACCAUAGCCGUUAUGCGCUUCAUGGUACUCGUCGGUACUAUAGGCCUACUUUCCGCAAGCCACGAGAGAUACCCGAUGGUAUAGGAAACAAUAGGCCCAUGAAUAGCGGACGUAAAACAAUACGUGAUCUUUUAUGGAACAGUCGAUAUUGGCAAUAGCCAAAGGUAUGCCUAAUUGGAAACGACCAGAGGCGCCAUGCUGGUUCAAUAUAUAGACCCAUUCAUAUUAUAUGCAACUUCUCUGAACGGAAAUCGGAUCUAACGUGGACAAUUAUUGGACAAUUAGCCAAACGUAUUGCUUGGAAAUGAAUGAAUAUCUCUCACGUACAGUGAUGACUUAUCUAUAUCAGGAUACCACCAGCUUAAAAUAUCGAUCACGUCAUUUAACUAUUUGAGGCCAAAUUUGUCAUUACUUUCUAAUAUCCAACAUCCGUUCAUGUCCCAAUGUUCUGUCUCUGAUUCUUCUUUCGUACGCAGUUUAGAGGGAUAAAAAUUAGCUGCAAACACAUAAUGGUUGGGUGCAUUUGACUCUGGGGUCCUUUCUGAUAGCCAAAUUAAAAGCCAGGCAUAUUUAGGUUAGCAAUCUAACUUGAUAUGCCAAUUGUUAUGUAGCAGGUUGUCAGAAUAUUAGGCAACUAAUUAAUGUCAACUGAUUUCCACUCCCCAUCCCCACCCCAACCCCACCCCAACAUUUAAAUGAAAGAACCUUAUAAAAGCAACUGAAGAGAAUGACCUUAUAGUAUAAUAGACAGAACGCUUACGAUAUAUA